CUCUUAUAGGAGUCCGGCCCCUCCGAGUGCGGUGCGGAGGCGCGGGGUCAGAGGGCAGCCGCAGUGGAUGCGGGGCGCAGUGUCGUGGGGUUUCUCGGCCGUGUGCUGCAGGGUGUAAGGCUGUGGGACUGUGGGGCGCCUGAUCUGGACGUCGGCGCCCUGUAGUGAUACGCGGUGGCCACUGGGCCGGGCGCAAACAUCUCUGUUCUUGGUGUCACCUCACUCUCCCCCGGCACGGGAGGAGUCUGCUGCUCUGCGCCCUCACUGCACCACAGUGACCUGGUACCCGCUUCCCUCCCGCGGGCCUGCAGGGCCGGGCCUACGAACACCUUUUCUAUAGAAGGCGCUUCUGAUCUUUUCCAAGAAUCCCUCUGAAGGUCGGAUGUUCGGCGGCGAUCGGAGGCGUCGUAGCUCCCUCGGCUCGGCCCCCAUCUGGCCCUGCACCCUGCCGAACCUACAGCCGUGGCCUUGAGGGGACGGGGCUGGUGCUCCGAAAUCUCAAAGCCAGGAGAGCUUGGAUGUUGGUGGCAACCCCCAAACGCCUGGCGCACGGAGGAACCAGCACUUUCCCUUGGGGUUUCGGAUCCAGGAGCGCUUUUCGGUUUCCAGUAGUGCGCUCAGGGCGUCCGCGCCGCGGGCGAGCUGCGCGGGUAUGCGGUGCCCGAACGCAGCGCCCGCUUAUCCGCUCCGGGCAGCGUGGACAGUUGUCGGCUCUGGGCUUGCGGGAGAAGAGGCUCCAGGAGAAAAGGAACUGUCGUCUGGGCCCCGGCGCUACUAGCGCAGGCCGCCCGCGAGUGCGCUCCUGCACCUCCCUGGCUUCGGGAGGAAUUAACGCUCCCUCGCCCCCACGAUUUCCGAUCCUCAAUUAUGGACCCGAGAGAAUUCCUCCCGGGCUUGAAAGGGAUUACCCGGAUCGCAGGAACAUGGCUAAGUGGAAGUGGGAGAAACCCGACGAGUAACAGGGACAGAAACUGUUCUCGAACUAAAUUUCCAGGAUUUUACGGGAAAGCGUACUUGAGAUCUCGCUACCAGCUUUUCACAGUGGCGGCCGUUGUUUUCUCAUCGGCAAGACAGGCUCGGAUCGCGUGGUUUCGGAAGUAGCAUAAUGGCAUGUUUGGAGACUCGCAGAUGUGUGGUGUAGGACACUUUCAGGCCCAAAGCCUACCCCGAGCGGUCAUUGUAUACCUCCUAUUGUGUACCCCAACACAUGCAUUCAACACACACACACACACACACACACACACACACACACACACACACACACACACCGCGGGCCUGGUCUCUUCCACUCCCCCACAGAAAGUACCCAAAGCUCUUGGGAGCGGCCCCGAAGUUUCCCACGUGGGUAGGAUAGCGAUGUCUGUGUGGAACCACCUGGUUGGGACCAUACCGAGGCUCUCUCUCUACCUCGGAGCAGGAGGACACUCAGGACAGACAUCCACAGGCUGGAAGCUCUGUAUAUACUGGGAAAAGCACUAAACACGUGCUAUUUCUGAUCAGGACGAUUGGCGGUGGCCUCCGAUUGGGACACCGGCAGCGUGUCUUUUGCUCCCAGGCCCUUGGUGCGAGGAGUGCCUCCCUCCCGGUCUAUGGUUUGAGCCUAAAGCCCAGCUCCUCACCGGGCUUUUGGAGACUCAGGGGAGAGGCUCAGACGGAACUAAUGACCCCCAAGACCUGGGCAUUGCCCAGGACCCGCGGUUCCCCUACUGGCCCGGAAGGAGCCUGCGGAAUCUGGAAUGAUGGGAAGUUGGGGGCAAGAAGAAGACGGGUGAGAAGAGGGGUCAGACACAUUGAGGCUGCGAGCUUCGGGUGCGCGGCCAGCUUACCGGGUGCCGGCACCCCCAGCAAGUCCUGCUUCGCGCGCUUGGGAGCACCCGGAGGCUCACCAGCACGCCUCUGCACAAACCCCCACCUCUUAGAAAUUUUCCAUUAGGAAACUGAUCUGGAAGAAACUGAGGCCCCAAGAGGAAAGGGGCGGGCCCAGGCCGGCCCACAUCUGCUUGGAUUUUACGCUUCAGAUGCUCCGCAACUGUUUUUCCCCAGGCCGCGCCCGGCGCCUACCUGAGGCCCAUCCCCCGCGGAAACCCGCUUUCGCGUGAGAUCAAGAGAGAAACGCGCAGAUGUUCCAUCGGGGAUGGGCUCCUGGAGAGGCUGCAGCUGUGGCAGAAGGGGGUAAAGGACUGCCACUAAGGGGGUGCGGGCUGGGGGAGGACUCCUCCCAUUCCUUGCACGAGAUUUGGGGGAAGGGAUUUCGACCUUCCAAGGUGGUGUUUAAGGAGAACUUCAACCGCUGGAGCGAACCGAGGCAACGGAAAACCCAGAAAAUGCAGGGCUGCUGAAAUUCGAACCCAUUCAAUACAUAAGCCCUGGUCUACACAGGCAACUAAGUUAGUUACUCCAGAAAUCCUGCUUGCGCCCAGUGCCCUAAGACGUUUUCAUGGCUGGGAACCUUUUUUAGUUUUAACUUUGCUAAAGAGUGCCUUGAUUUCUCACUUCUUUCUUUGUAUAAGCCCCCUGGAGACACGACCAACUUUUCCUGGGGUCACGACUACUCUCAGAAAGGAUCAGGCAAAGGCGACAUUACUACUAUUUGUUGUUAAAAGUCAUUACAGGUACCCAAGACAAUUUGUAAUGAUUCAUUCCUGGGGAGGCCAACAGAGUAGUUGGCUCUGCGGACUCGUUCCCAAGUCCUGUAGGGUGAGAAGUUAUCUUUUUGUUUGUUUUUUAAUAAACUAUUUCACUGGAAGCCACUCUGUUGAGAAAGUGUUUGCUUUUAGGUUGGUCUGCGGGCAUCUGACGAUCUGAUUACCUGACACUAACUAGGGCAGCUCCACCUUCGCGUUCUGGGUCCAGGGACCCUUUAGUAUCUGGUUCAGCUGUUGGCGGGGGUGCCCGGGUUCGGCUGGAGGGCGCAGGCACGGCAAAGGCACCCCAGGGCGCCUGCUCGAGGCUGAUUCUGCUCUCGGGGAUUCCGAAAGGAGUGUGAUCCUUAUCCUCAGACUUGGUUGUCCAGCACCCUUGGGGUUCUGGGAUUGGGAGCUCCGAGGGGCCGACCACAGUAAUGCCUCCCGUCCGAGGAAUGAAAUAACUAGCUGCUGCCUACUUCUCUUCUCCCUCAAGGCAGUGAAUUUAGGGGAACAAAAACAGUGCCACUGGUUAUUAAUUAUAGUAAUUAGCAAGGUCCCCCAAGCGAGGCCCAGGGAGCCACCGAAGCCGCGCCUGGGUUGGGUAAACGGCGGCAGAAAGUUUCUUCUAAUUUUACCUGGGGGUAAGAGGGUGGCCCUUUUCUCUGCAUUUUCUUUCCCUGCCUCCCAGGCCUGGCCCGGCUUUCUCUCGCAUCUCCGAAAAGGUGCCGGGGACUUCUGUGCGCCCCUCGCAAUGCACGAAGACGUCCAGUGGCUUGGGGGAGGGCGAGGAUCUCUCGGGAGCGCGGGCAGCGCCCUGCGCCCAGGAUCAGCUCUCCGGGAACAGCCAGGGAUCCGCGUCCUCGGAAGAGGGGAGCCAGGGUCCCGCGCCCACCUCUUCCCACCCGUCCACGACCCCGCCGCAUGGAGCCCCAGCUGUCUUCUCCUGCAGGGCUCUCCGCCCGGUUUAACGGAAACAUCGCCUCAAAAUCCCAGUUCAGGGAGAGGCCACCCAUCCGCUCCCCGGCAAAGCCCCGCUUUUCGCCUCCAGCGAGACCCAGAUCGCCUCUAGAAACCCUGGAACUGAACGAGUCUUACUCGUGUGUGCGCUGAAACUCCUCAGUGGUUUUAUCAAUGACACACCGCCUUGAAAUCUGAAAACCAACUCAUUCAUCAAGGACGGUGUUGGAACCGCCUCUAUAAAACGUCAACCAAAAAUUUUCCUUUUAAAACAAAACCAAACCAAACCUAUCCACCAGAGUUAAAUAUUUCUGCACAUCAAAGAGAGCACGAACACGGUGGACUUAAGUGUUUUUUAUUUUUUUUUAAUUUUCCUAGCAGGUAAUAAUAGUAAUAGGCAACCCCUAAUAUAAGGCUGACUAUAAUGUGGACUAUUAUCAUGCUUUAAAGAUACAAACUCGUUUCAUUUAAUAUAAGGGGACUAUUUGCAAAGCGAAGCGAACACUGGGGAACCUUCUCCUUAUCUAACAAAAUCUGUAAGAGAGGCAUGCUAAUUCGUUGGAAAUUUAAUAGAGAAAGUUACGGAAAGGCCGGCGGAUGGGCGGGCUGGAGGACCCGGUUGGCCCCCUCCAGCUCCGCCUGGGCGCGCGCCGCCGCCCUAACUCGGGGCGUGAGCAUCUUCCCGCUUCGUGCGGAUUCUUAUUUUUUAAAUAUCUUCUUUUCUUUUAAAGGCCGGCGUGGAAGGCGAGUUUCCUGAGACCCGUGUCUCCGGGAACACACUCUCCCUCGGGGGAGGAGAAGCAGCCUGAUGCCUACAUCAUCACUUCUGGAGAAGCUGUCAGCUCUGACAAAUGAAAGUGGAAGCCAGGAGAGCUGCACCUGCAAAAGCGGCUGGAAUUCCAAGGCCAGCCCCACCCAUCCGUUCUUUAAGAGCGCUGAACUUGGACCCUGCUUGAUUGCGUGAGAUCCAGCAGUUGGAUUUUCUUAAAGUGAAUUCCAGAAAUGGAAAUUCACGCUCAGUAUCUUGCACAAACAUUUUAAUAUCCGAAUGGUCUGGAUAAGAGGCAAGGAUCCUUCCUGCUGUAGGCAUAGCCGAUACUGUAAAGGCUGAAAAGCUUUUGUCGAGGGUAGAAAGGCAACGAUUUAGACACACAGAGAAAGCUCCUACUUAGAAGUAAAGGAAAAAAAAAAGACUCCAAGUGAAGUUAGAAAAAAUCAUAUUUUACAAAAUCCUUUGAACAUUAUUUGACAGUGAAUGUAUUUUUCUAGUUACGUUUGUUAACCCGAGUUUCUCAGUGACCCUUUGCAUGUGUGAAUCAUGAGAUUCAUUCCCAACAAAGAGGAGUGAUGGAUCUGUUAGGGAUCCAUGCUUUAGAACUGAUUUUCUGUGUCAGCCGUGGAAGCUGCUUCGCUUUAGAUACUUUAUGGGAUGAUCAUUGAGGGAACCGUGGGUAAAAUUUCUCAGGAGUGUCUCUCAAAACAUUUUUCAUAAUUAAAAAGUGAUUCAUAGAAAUCACCAGAAAAAUUAUGGGAAGUUAUGUUCCAGCAUGCUUUUAGGCCAUGUGGAUUAAAUAAAAUCAUUAAGAUCUGGUUGCGUAA